GGGGGUAUAGCUCAGAUGGGAGAGCACCUGCCUUGCAAGCAGGGGGUCGCGAGUUCGAAUCUCGCUAUCUCCA
rnacentral:tRNA from 3 species